AUACGGAGGAUCCGAGCGUUAUCCGGAUUUAUUGGGUUUAAAGGGUGCGCAGGCGGCCAUUUAAGUCAGCGGUUAAAUCGUGGGGCUCAACCCCAUUCUGCCGUUGAUACUGGGUGGCUUGAUUGCGGUCGAGGUUGGCGGAAUUCGUUGUGUAGCGGUGAAAUGCAUAGAUAUGACGAAGAACACCGAUUGCGUAGGUAGCUGACCAGACCGCAAAUGACGCUCAUGCACGAAAGUGCGGGGAUCGAACAGGAUUAGAUACCCUGGUAGUCCGCACAGUAAACGAUGAAUACUUGUUUUCGGCGAUAUAAUGUCGGAGGCAAAGCGAAAGCGAUAAGUAUUCCACCUGGGGAGUACGCCGGCAACGGUGAAACUCAAAGGAAUUGGCGGGG
rnacentral:rRNA from 1 species